AGGGCACCAAAGACAGCCCUGCAACCACCUGCAACAAGCUGGGGCUGAUUCAACCACACCUGCAGGAUGGUGUGUAGAGCUCAGCAGGAAACGUUUACGUGACCCUAACCAGGGCUGCCUGUUUGAUGCCCUGCAAGUGUACCUGUAACUUCACUGUAGGAGGGAUGACAUGUAUACCUCCUGUGUUGUCACAAAUAAUAGGAAAAUGCAAACCAGAAAAAAAGUGUAUCAAGCGGUUUUGCCAGCUUGAUGGUGACUGUAAGUUUAAGUAUGCCGAUCUUGAUGCAGUCCAGCUCCGGUUUCUACGGUUAAACAGCCACUUUGCCGCUCAGCGACUGACCAUCGCCUGCCCUGUUAACUACACUAGCAGAGCAAUCAGGAAAAAUACAACAAACAGGGUUCUUCACUUUCUGGGAGACUCCGGUGUGGAGAUUGGUUCAAACUAUAUGAUAGUAUCAAGGAAUGGUUGUGAAGUGGAGGUACGAGUAUGGGGGAGCACAGAGAUCCAUAGAGGGGACUUGGAGCUGUUGCCCCUCAGGGACGUUAGUGCGGAGGGAAGGGGAGAUCACUGGGACACAGACCUCAGAGUUAUCCUGGGACCUUUGUGCUUUUGUAGCCUCCAUUUAUCCAGAGAGAAGAAGCAAGCACUGUCCAGUGUAUGGGGCAAGAUCAUUUGGUUGCAAUUCCUCAUCAGGACAAAAUAAUGUUGUCUCAUCAUGUUGUCUGUUCGCUGAAGCGCUUAUGUAUAAUUGCGAUAACAACUAGCUGUACUGUAUGAUGAAAUAUGUAUUUUGGAGAGAUUUAUAUAAUGUGUAUUUUAUAAAGAAAAAUAUAUAGCUGUUGUGUUGUUUGUAUCUCCUGCAUAUCAAUUAUUUUUUAUUUAUUCAUUGUGAUGUGAUGUACUGUGUGUGCUAAUAUAUGCUUCAAAUUUGAUUAAUGUGGAUGUUUUAAGAAUGUAAUGUACUCAUUUGUAUUUUCUUGUUUAAGCGUU